CACUUCUAAGGAAGGCAGCAGGCGCGCAAAUUACCCAAUCCUGACUCAGGGAGGUAGUGACAAGAAAUAACAAUAAACCGGCUUAUGCCGGUUUAAUUGGAAUGAGUACAAUUUAAACAUCUUAACGAGGAACAAUUGGAGGGCAAGUCUGGUGCCAGCAGCCGCGGUAAUUCCAGCUCCAAUAGCGUAUACUAAAGUUGUUGCAGUUAAAAAGCUCGUAGUUGGAUUUCUGUGGGGACGGAGCGGCCGGCCGCAACUCGCGGUUCGAGCUAGCGCUUUCCCUACAUCCUGCCGCGAACCGUGCUACCAUUAGUUUGGUGGCGCCGGGGAUCGGCUCGAUUACUUUGAGAAAAAUAGAGUGUUCAAAGCAGGCCACAUGCCUUGAAUAGGUUAGCAUGGAAUAAUAACUAAGGACUUCGGUUCUAUUUUGUUGGUGUUCGGGACUGAAGUAAUGAUUGAUAGGGACAGUUGGGGCGGUCUGUAUUCCAAAGCGAGAGGUGAAAUUCUUAGACCUUCGGAAGACAAACAGCUGCGAAAGCGUUCCGCAAGGAUGUUCCCUUUGAUCAAGAACGAAAGUUGGGGGAUCGAAGACGAUCAGAUACCGUCGUAGUCUCAACUAUAAACUAUACCAGCUAGGGAUCGGCCAACGUUAUUUCAAACCGACUUGGUCGGCACCUUAUGAGAAAUCAAAGCAUCUGGGUUCCGGGGGGAGUAUGGUCGCAAGGCUGAAACUUAAAGGAAUUGACGGAAGGGCACCACCAGCCGUGGAGCCUGUGGCUUAAUUUGACUCAACACGGGAAAACUUACCAGGUCCAGACAUAGUAAGGAUUGGCAGAUUGAUAGCUCUUUCUUGAUUCUGUGGGUGGUGGUGCAUGGCCGUUCUUAGUUGGUGGAGUGAUUUGUCUGGUUAAUUCCGUUAACGAACGAGACCCCAGCCUGCUAAAUAGCGCGUGUGAGCUUUGCUCGCAGCGAGCUUCUUAGAGGGACUAUGAUGCGCGAUAGCACAUGGAAGUUUGGGGCAAUAACAGGUCUGUGAUGCCCUUAGAUGUUCUGGGCCGCACACGGGCUACACUGGCGCCUGCAACGAGCAUAUCAGCUGGCCCGAGAGGGUCUUGGCUAAUCUUUUGAACCGGCGCCGUGCUUGGGAUUGACCUUUGCAAUUGUUGGUCAUGCAACGAGGAAUGCCUUGUAAACGCGAGUCAUCAGCUCGCAUUGAAUACGUCCCUGCCCUUUGUACACACCGCCCGUCGCUCCUACCGAUGAAUGUUCCGAUGAAAUUUUCGGAGAGUGCCUGUGAACUUGGCUCUGCCUUGCGAACGGGAAGCUCAAAGUCACUUAAAUCUGAACAUUUCG
rnacentral:rRNA from 1 species